GCUCAAGAUAUUGGACGCGGUUCUUUCUGGCGAGAAAAUGACGCGUUUUGUUUCGUCUCGUCGACUCGACGCUUUCCUCCACCCUCUUCGUCGCGUACAGCUCCUCUUGCCAAUCAGCUCGCCCUCUUCUCCCAAGAACCAUCGAAAUCCCUCGCCAAACCAAUCCAGAACCGCAUUCCCGUCGAAAAAUUACCACGGAAUUGAGGGAGAAGCAGCAAUCAGGUGUUGCGUUGGUUCAUCCAAUCCGACCCUGCAGGAAUCCGAGGGGUUACUUCGGUCGCAAUUGAGGCGUUCGGAGGCGCGGCCUGGGGGGAGGGAUGGGAGGAGGAGGAGAAGCCGGGGCGGAAUUGUCGACGGACAACGUGAAGGGGAUAGUUCUGGCGCUCCUCUCCAGCGGCUUCAUUGGCGCUAGCUUCAUCAUCAAGAAGAAGGGCCUCCGCCGGGCCGCCGCCGCCUCCGGCGUCCGCGCAGGGGUCGGCGGGUACUCGUACCUCAUGGAGCCCCUAUGGUGGGUCGGCAUGAUCACUAUGAUUGUGGGAGAGGUUGCCAAUUUCGUCGCAUACGCUUUUGCCCCCGCGGUGCUGGUUACUCCUCUUGGAGCACUCAGCAUAAUUAUUAGUGCAGUGCUGGCUCAUUUCGUCCUGAAUGAGAGGUUGCAUGCUCUUGGGGUGCUUGGCUGCGUGAUGUGCAUUGCGGGAUCUGUGGUGAUUGUUAUCCAUGCUCCACAGGAGCAGGAGAUAACGUCGGUUAGGGAAAUAUGGAACAUGGCGACUCAACCCGCUUUCUUGCUAUAUGUUGCUUCAGUUAUUGUGGUUGUUUUUGUCCUGGUGUUCUAUUUCUCCCCUCUCUAUGGGCAGUCGAAUGUGUUGAUUUACACUGCUAUUUGCUCUUUGAUGGGUUCUCUUUCGGUAAUGAGUGUUAAAGCUCUUGGUACAUCCUUAAAGUUGACUUUUGAGGGGACAAAUCAGUUAGUAUAUCCAGAGACUUGGUUCUUUAUGCUUGUUGUGGCUACUUGUGUGCUAACACAGAUGAAUUAUCUGAAUAAGGCACUUGACACAUUCAAUACAGCGAUUGUAUCUCCAAUUUAUUACGUAAUGUUCACUACUCUGACAAUACUUGCAAGCGUCAUAAUGUUCAAGGAUUGGUCUGGUCAAAGCCUCGGAAGCAUCGCUUCAGAAAUUUGUGGUUUGAUUGUGGUGUUGUCUGGUACCAUUUUGUUGCAUGUGACGAAGGAUUAUGAAAGGAUCCCACAAUCAAGAAGUAUUUAUGCGCCACUGUCUCCUUCCUUGACAACUAGAUUAAAUGGAGAGCUGUUGAAGCACGUUGAGGAUGAGAGGACUCCUGACGAAGAAAAAGCCUUGAGAAGACAAGAGAUGUACUAGCAUCAGAAGCUCGAAGAAAUGAUUAAUAGUUCUGAUGGAAGCUCUAGUGGGGCUUGUAUAUGGCAGAAUAGCGUUUCCUUUUCUGCGAAUUCAUAGUCUCUGAUGGGGAAAGCAAAGCGCGCAUCAAUCUUCAUCAGACUGGUUUCAGCAGCUGGUACCGGGUUCUUCUACGUGAAGCGCAAGAACCCUCGGCGGAUCACUGAGAAGCUUGAGUUUAGGAAGUACGAUCCCGUGUGAACAAGCACGUUCUAUUUACAGAAGCAAAGAUGAAGUGAGAUCUUCUGUCUCCAUAAUGUUGCAGAGCCAGAAUAGCUCGUGAUAAUUUUGGAUUCAGAAACCUCUGUACUGUUAACUUGGAUCAAAACAAUGUUGUCAACGUUGUCCUGUUCUACCUUCCAGAGUUUCAUGUAGACGAUCCUAAUGUGCUUGAGUUAGCGAGGAUUUCACUUGUUCUUGCAAACAAUCAGUGUUUAUUUUCUGUUUCUUUUGAGGAGAAUAUAUUUUAUUGAAA